AACGAACGCUGGCGGCAUGCCUAACACAUGCAAGUCGAACGAUUGCCUUCGGGUGAUAGUGGCGCACGGGUGCGUAACGCGUGGGAAUCUGCCCUUAGGUUCGGAAUAACAGCUGGAAACGGCUGCUAAUACCGGAUGAUAUCGCGAGAUCAAAGAUUUAUCGCCUGAGGAUGAGCCCGCGUUGGAUUAGGUAGUUGGUGGGGUAAAGGCCUACCAAGCCGACAAUCCAUAGCUGGUCUGUGAGGAUGAUCAGCCACACUGGGACUGAGACACGGCCCAGACUCCUACGGGAGGCAGCAGUGGGGGAUAUUGGACAAUGGGCGCAAGCCUGAUCCAGCAAUGCCGCGUGAGUGAUGAAGGCCCUAGGGUUGUAAAGCUCUUUUACCCGGGAAGAUAAUGACGGUACCGGGAGAAUAAGCCCCGGCUAACUCCGUG
rnacentral:rRNA from 1 species